rnacentral:rRNA from 1 species
AUUGAACGCUGGCGGCAGGCCUAACACAUGCAAGUCGAACGAGUGGCGGACGGGUGAGUAAUUUCUUGGAAACUGCCUGCUGGAGGGGUAUAACUACUGGAACCGGUAGCUAAUACCGCAUACCAUCGGAUGUGCCCAGAUGGGAUUAGCUAGUAGGUGGUGUAACGGCUCACCUAGGCGACGAUCCCUAGCUGGUCUGUGAGGAUGACCGGCAAAACGGGAACUGAGACACGGUCCAGACUCCUACGGGAGGCAGCAGUGGGGAAUAUUGGGCAAUGGGCGCAAGCCUGAUGCAGCCAUGCCGCGUGUAUGAAGAAGGGCUUCGGGUUGUAAAGUACUUUCAGCGGGGAGGCGGUACCCGAAGAAGAAGCACCGGCUAACUCCGUGCCAGCAGCCGCGGUAAUUC